rnacentral:rRNA from 1 species
GAAUGCUGACAUAAGUAACGAUAAAGCGGGUGAAAAGCCCGCUCGCCGGAAGACCAAGGGUUCCUGUCCAACGUUAAUCGGGGCAGGGUGAGUCGACCCCUAAGGCGAGGCCGAAAGGCGUAGUCGAUGGGAAACGGGUUAAUAUUCCCGUACUUGGUGUUACUGCGAAGGGGGGACGGAGAAGGCUAUGUUGGCCGGGCGACGGUUGUCCCGGUUUAAGCGUGUAGGUGUGUGUUC